UGAUGCAGCCAUGCCGCGUGUGUGAAGAAGGCCUUCGGGUUGUAAAGCACUUUCAGUUGUGAGGAAAAGUUAGUAGUUAAUACCUGCUAGCCGUGACGUUAACAACAGAAGAAGCACCGGCUAACUCCGUGCCAGCAGCCGCGGUAAUACGGAGGGUGCGAGCGUUAAUCGGAAUUACUGGGCGUAAAGCGCACGCAGGCGGUUUGUUAAGCUAGAUGUGAAAGCCCCGGGCUCAACCUGGGAUGGUCAUUUAGAACUGGCAGACUAGAGUCUUGGAGAGGGGAGUGGAAUUCCAGGUGUAGCGGUGAAAUGCGUAGAUAUCUGGAGGAACAUCAGUGGCGAAGGCGACUCCCUGGCCAAAGACUGACGCUCAUGUGCGAAAGUGUGGGUAGCGAACAGGAUUAGAUACCCUGGUAGUCCACACCGUAAACGCUGUCUACUAGCUGUUUGUGGCUUUAAGCCGUGAGUAGCGAAGCUAACGCGCUAAGUAGACCGCCUGGG
rnacentral:rRNA from 1 species